AGAGGGAAGGCAACGUAAAGACCCAAAGAGAGACCACCAUCUACAAGUCACAUCUACAAGUCAAGGAGAGAGGCCCAGGACAGAUUCUUUCCUCACAGCCCUCGGGAGGAAGCAACCCUGCCAACCCCCUGACUUCUAGCCUUCUUCAGAUUCUCAGCUUCUAGAACUGUGAGACGAUGCAUUUCUGCCAUUUAAGCCACCCGUUUGUGGUUGGCAUUGUUAUGGUGGCCCUAGCAAACUAAGACAACUCUAAAUUCUGCAAACAGUUCUCUAAACAAGGCUGAUAUAAUUAAAUUGCUACUUCUUAAGAUUUUCCUCUCUCCUUUAAAAAUGAAAGACCUGUAAAUAUAGACUGCCUAAAUGCUUCAUCAGUAAGAACUGGAGUCAUCUUACACAACUUCUUCAAGUAACAAUUAUGUGGAAAAAGUGUGCUAAUUUCAGUAAAAAGACAUCCUGCUGUUGUAAACUAGAAGGAAAGACGUUCCAGUGUUAAUCUCCAAGUGUAGCACCGUUAAGCGGCAGGUAUGAGAAAUGUUCUCCUGUUUUCUGGAAACAUUGGUCUGUUCUCAUUUGCUUGUGCUAUGACAGUCCUCUGAUAAAGCAAGGUCAGGAAGAAAGGCAGAUCUAUUAACACUUCGCUCAACCAAGGCAGACCUUAGUACAAUGGACAGCCUUAUAGAAGUCUUCUAAGUCAUUAAUGAAAAUGUCAACUGACAUUCCCAAGGAGCCCACUACAAAGGCUGACUGGUUUAUUACAACCUUGGCCCUACUGAAGGCCUGGCGCAGACAGCAAGUCUCCUUCUGAAACUAUGUUGCUCUGACAUGUGGCCAUACAAACAAGUCUUGAUUGGAAGGAAGUCAACUUAAUUCAGGAAAGUACAUCCUAAGAACAACAGUGACCACUGCAAUGUAUUACAAGGCUUACUUUUUUUUCGGUUAGCUUCUGCAAUGCAUAUACAAUGCCAUUAUUCCAGACAUUAGGUGUCUUGCUAAUGGCCUAAAACAAAGGAGAGGGAUUUGGAAUUCAGGAGCUCUGGCCUUCCAUUUCACUGCCCUUUCCACUAUUCACUAUUUGUUCUUUUCCAAUGCCUUAACUCGAAACCACAGUGACAUGCUCUGUCUGAGUGAGUCUUUCUCAGAGUGUAAAGGCAUGAAUGUAUUCACUCAACAAAAAUAUACUGAAUGUCUAUUAUAUUCCAAACACUCUUCUUGGGCUUAGACAUAUAGCAGGGAAUAAAACAAAUAAAACCAAGCAAGCAAAAAA
ensembl:lncRNA novel transcript, antisense to L3MBTL3